GCCGAUGUGGUGAAACUGGUAUACACGCUACCUUGAGGUGGUAGUGCCUUCGGGUGUGCAGGUUCGAGUCCUGUCAUCGGCA
rnacentral:tRNA from 1 species